AUCGAACGCUGGCGGCAGGCCUAACACAUGCAAGUCGAGCGGACGAUGCGAGCUUGCUCCUGGAUUCAGCGGCGGCCGGGUGAGUCAUGCCUAUGAAUCUGCCUUGUCGCGGGGGAUAACGUCCGGAAACGGGCGCUAAUAUUGCAUACGUCCAGUGGGCGCCAGUGGGGGAUCUUCGGACUCCACGCCAUCUGAUGAGCCUAGGUCGGAGUAGAUAGUUGGUGGGGUAAAGGCCUACCAAGGCGUCGAUCCUUAACUGGUCUGAGAGGAUGAUCAGGCACACUGGAAGUGAGGCUGGUCCGAGACACCGACGGGGGGAAGCGGUGGGGAAUAUUGGGCGAUGGAGGAGAGCCGAAUCCUGCGAUGCCGCGUGUAGGAUGAAGGACUUCGGAUGGGAGAGCACUGUAAGUUGGAGGGAAGGACAGUAAUUUAAUACCGGGCUGUAUUGACGUUACCAGCAGAAGAAGCACCGGCUAACUUCGUG
rnacentral:rRNA from 1 species